AAAAUGGAGAGCUGUACCAAACCAGCCCUAGGACUCCUGAAGAUUACGCCAACAACAUGCAUUCUUAUGAACUUUGAGUUUUCGACUAUACUCUUUGACUGCUUCGAAUCUGAAGUAUUGUUUCUGCACGGGCGUCAUUGUGUGGUGUUUGUAAAUAUGAAGCAGUAGUUGAAAACAUCGUUAGAAUUAGUUUUAGUUGUUAGUGGAGAUGGUGUAGCUACUCGUUGGGGACCAUGGCUGAAGUGAACAUAAGUCCCGAUGAAGAAGAACGUGUCCAUUUCAGAAGAAUAGUUGCUGCCUUUAAAUGUUACAGUUUGUUUCAGGUUGCUGUUGUUUAAAUGUUAAUGAAAACUCUGAAGCAAGUAGGAGUCAGUUCCCUCUGAGCGACACAGGUGUUAACAGACUGAAAUCUUCAGUCAUCAUCACCAGUGAAUUCUACAUAACAGUGGAAAAUGACAUAAGGACAAAUUAAACAAUGUGUACUGCAUUUAGCUAGUUAUUUAUGUGUUCCAUAGAAUGUUUGUAUGAUAUUUAAUUAUAACAUGGCAUUGGUCAGUUGACAGGUUAAAGGAGUGGCUACAUUAUGCCCAUGUACUGAAUUUGUGUAAUAGUAAAAAUAUUUAGGUUAUUAGCAGAAGAAAGUAUGUAAUUCUCUUGAACUUCAUACAAAACAAGUUUCUAAAUAAAAACUCCUCUUUAGAAUACAAA
rnacentral:misc_RNA from 1 species